ensembl:snoRNA
CAUUGGGUGGUUUUCUACCUGGUGGAUCUGUGACAGCUUCAGAGUGGCCUCAAUCUACCACAAAGAUUAUUGGAGGGCCGUCAUAAAAACAUUUCAAGAACUUUGAGUUUUCAGUUAUUCUUCCAGCUCCUACAAGA